GACAGAGGAGCCAAGCGUUGUCCGGAUUGACUGGGCGUAAAGCGCACGCAGGCGGAUGCGCGCGUGGGGUGUGAAAUCUGGCCGCUUAACGGCCAGGCGCCAUCCCAUACGGCUCGACUGGAGUGAUGCAGAGGUCCAUGGAAUUGCCGGUGUAGUGGUGAAAUGCGUAGAGAUCGGCAGGAACACCCAGGGGGAAACCAGUGGACUGGCACGGAGCUGACGCUCAGGUGCGAAAGCGUGGGAGCGAACGG
rnacentral:rRNA from 1 species